rnacentral:lncRNA from 1 species
ACUGAAGGUGAAACUGACCCUUUUGUUGCUAUUGUAGUUGCGACGACACUCAAUACUUACCUGCGCCUCCUCAACCGGCGCAGGGACAUCAUCAAUCUGAACAGGUGCGCCAUUGCACUUUCUGAAUGUCUAUAUCCGAUACGAUAACUCUCAUAAAAUUAUUUUGCAAAUAUAAUAUAAUUUGGAUAACAUCUCAUCUAUGAUAAAAUCGGAGAAAAUGACAUCACGGUAAAUUGACACAUUACAUCAAUAGGAUAAAUUUACUAGACUCUUAUCAACAACUCAUAUUACACAAAAUACAUCAACAAUAUGAUUAAGCAGAAUACAAGAUUACCAGUCACAAAUUCACAAAUGCACAUUCACAAUCAUAUAUGAAAUAUCUGUGAACGACCACUCACAGUGUGCACAAUUGUACAUUCACAUUCAUAUAUAUACAAAUUGCUCAGUACCAUUCACAAUUGCACAAUAAUAUAUAAACACACUGUACAGUACCAGUAACAAUUGCAAAAUCCUAUAACAUUCAGACAUCAUCUUUUGCGACUAUACACUCAAUCAUAGAAGUAUAGGUCAGACAACAUGGAUCCUUUAAGAUCGCGCUGACCAUAUGAGCACGGAAGGAGGAGGGGUCAUUAUCGUACAAUGAUAGAUCGGGGAGGCCGUUUCUUACGAGUCUUUCGGCGAAAAGACAUGUGUACAUGCCACAAUCAACUUCGAUGGAACCCUGUUGUUGACAUUCCUUAUGAAAUAUGACAUCAGGAGUGCCGACAGGGAUUUCGAGGAUGUGCUCAAAAUAGGACGCAAACCAUUUGGCCUUUCCAAGACAAAAAAAAGGGUUAAUUAAUUAAAACGAGUAGAUAGUAGAUGUUACCGUCGCGUGAAUAAAUAACUAAAAGACUCUGUCUACUGAGAAGAAUAAAAUAAUACCAGCAGCUGUGCCGCGUCCUGUGCCCCGCUGUGGCUCCACAAAGAGUUCCAACUCUCAAAACGUCGUUCCUUCAAAUCAAUCGAUAGCAAAUGCCAAUGCCAAUUACUAUGUAACGGAAUAAGUACAUAUCUACAAGUGUUGCAGGUUUGUGUAUUUAUUUUUUGCAGAAAGUGACGUAUAGAUGC